rnacentral:rRNA from 1 species
UGGGGAAUCUUGCACAAUGGGCGAAAGCCUGAUGCAGCCAUGCCGCGUGAAUGAUGAAGGCCUUAGGGUUGUAAAAUUCUUUCGCUAGGGACGAUAAUGACGGUACCUAGUAAAGAAGCCCCGGCUAACUUCGUGCCAGCAGCCGCGGUAAUACGAAGGGGGCUAGCGUUGUUCGGAAUUACUGGGCGUAAAGCGCACGUAGGCGGAUUAACAAGUUGGAGGUGAAAUCCCGAUGCUCAACAUCGGAACUGCCUUCAAAACUGUUAGUCUAGAGAUCAGGAGAGGUUAGUGGAAUACCGAGUGUAGAGGUGAAAUUCGUAGAUAUUCGGUGGAACACCAGUGGCGAAGGCGACUAACUGGACUGAUACUGACGCUGAGGUGCGAAAGUGUGGGGAGCAAACAGGAUUAGAUACCCGCGUAGUCC